GGAGUUUGGUCCGUGUCUCAGUACCAAUGUGGGGGACCUUCCUCUCAGAACCCCUACUGAUCGUCGGCUCGGUGGGCCGUUACCCCGCCGACUGCCUAAUCAGACGCAUCCCCAUCCCUUACCGAUGAAUCUUUGCUCCUCAUCUGAUGCCAUCAAAGGAGAACAUAGAGUAUUAAUCCGACUUUCGCCGGGCUAUCCUCUAGUAAGGGGAAGGUUGGAUACGCGUUACUCACCCGUGCGCCGGUCGCCAUCAAAGGAAGCAAGCUUCCUUCAUGCUGCCCCACGACUUGCAUGUGUUAAGCCUGUAGCUAGCGUUCAUC
rnacentral:rRNA from 1 species